AAAUUCUGGGUUGAAUCAUCUACAUGGAUAUUAAAAUCAUUAAUUACCAGUCUUAGUGAUUCCAGCACCAGUGUAAUAAGGAACCUAAUCAAUCCAGAAGGCUCUUUUGUAUUAGUGUGGGGCAACCUACAUGCUUACACUAGCCCUAUCUAAUCCUUAAUUUGAUUGCAGUAUACAGAAUAUUUAAAGAUGGCUUGUCAUGGCUGUGGAGAAAGUGAAAAACUCUUCACUUCUGCUAUAGCUUCUCAAACAUCUCGCACAGCAGAACUGUGCUGAGUGAUUGAAUCUUCGCUGUGUCCACUUGGUUGCAGAUUGAAUUUUUCCUUGUGGAGAGCUUUCAUGUUACUUAGCAGACAAAGAUCAAAUUUGGACUGAGGUUCCCAUUGCUAUGGAAACUUAACCAUAUGUGGAGAAGGACAUGAGCUCAUGUCUUCUUUGCUUGAGUUGCAGCCGGUAUUACUGUCGGAGACUGUGGAGGUGCUGUAGCUACUUCCUGAUAAUGUGUGAGUUGCAGUCUUGUCUUUUCUGGCUAGUGAAGGCCAUUGAAGAAGUAAUGGGUCCAUUAUUUGUCAAGAUUGUGAAUGUUUUUCUGUGUGUGGAUGAGAACAGGAUCCCAGCACCUCUUAAAUAAGCUAUUGAGAACUCAUGAAACCAACUCUUGAUGUUCACAUUCCUGCUAUCAGCCUAUGUCCCAUCUCCCAUUUUUAAGGAAGGUCAUUGAGAUUUCCUUGGAGUCAAACUGGUCAUAGGCCCAAACAUGGGGUAGAACCCCCCCCCCCACGGUUGCAUUAGUUUAUUAUAUCCAAGCAAUGAACAGAGAUUAAGGGUGUAUGAUUCUUAUAAAUUUGUCAGCAGCUUUUGAUACAGUUGGCUAUGAGAUUUUGUUGACUCAUUUACCGACAAUAGCAGGGAUGGAUGGCACUGCUUUUGAGUGGCUAUUAUCUUUCUGAGAGGACCCCAAAGGGGAGUUGUGGUCAAUGAUUUCUCUGUCCCAAGAGUGCUCUUUUGUAGCUGCUGAAGGGGUCUGUACUAUCACAUUUCUUGUUCAUAGGGUAUAUGAUUGUUAGCAAGGAGAUAUGGAUUGCCGUGUAUUUAGUGCACUGAUGAUACCGAGCUUAAUGAGAGAGUACAACAGCACUUUCAAAAACACAGGGUGCUUUUAGAUUCUGGGCUACUCUUGGAUGCUCAGAUAGGGCUGUGGCCAAGAGUACUUUUUCAGACCAGAAUAGUGUAACCUUUUCUUUCCAAUGAAUUCUUUGUCACCUCAAUAUUAGAUUGCUGUAAUGCACUCAGGACCAUUUAGAAGCUGAGCCUAGUGCAGAAUGUUGCAUGUGCGAAGCACAGUAGACCAGUGUUCUGCACUGGCUUCCAGAAAAUUUCUGGUUGAAAUGAAAGGUGGUGUUUAACCUAUAGAGCCCUAAAUGGGUUGAGACCUGAUAUAUCUGUAAGAUCUUGUCGUCUCCUCCUACUGCCACAGCAAAGAUGCUUGAGCUGGAGCUGUCAUUCUAUGGAUGAGAGGGACCUGCUGUCAAGACAUGCUCCGAGGAGGAGGAGUCAGUUUUGAAACAAGGUCCGCACACUUGGAUUGCCAGAACAUAGGUUUGUUAGGCUUUGCAGUGUGCCCAAAAGGCUAUAUUCCCCCCGCCAUGCACGCACACACACAUACACUCUCUCUCCCUCUAAGGUUGUUGAGAAGGGGCUGGACUCGGGUGAAUCUAUAGGCAAUCCUUUCCUUGUUUCUGUUGUUUAACUGAUUAGAAAAUACGAUUAAAUUCUUGCUGAAUGCUUAUAGUGAUAAUGUGUUAGCUUUAAAAUUAUGCGAUAAUUUUGCAGAGUCUUGGAUAUUAACUUAUAUUUUAGAAACUUAAAAGAACCAUAGCUAAUGGUUUCUACAAGAGAGUUUGAUUCUUCUGUUGUUGCAACGGUUAAGGAACCUACACUGGAAUGUUUAAUUUUCUUCUAUUAACCAUUCAUACCAAAGGUGGUCCUGACUAAUUUAGAUAAAGUAUAUAUGCAAGCUGUCACUUGUCUGAAGAAAGGUAUGCCAUGUAAUACCAAAAUUGUAGGUGGGGAGGAAGGUCUUCUAUAAGAUGUGUUGAAUAUGUAAUCACAUAAGCAUCAAAGGGUAUGUGUACACUGCAAGGUAAGCCCAGGGGGUCAAAUCAGACUCAAGCCUAAACCGCACUUCUGUCUAAACAUAAAUUGCACUAACCCAGUGCCGCAGGACUCCAUGGGGAGGGAAGAUCCAAGCCUGAGUCAAGCCGGGACCAAGGGUUCAAGCCUUAUUGCUUUUCAGUGUAAAUACAGCAGCACUAGACUCAUGCUCUGGGAGUCCACUAAAAGCAUUCCACAAGCCCCCGGGUGAACUUUUUGUCUAGACAGUCAAGUUUUCUCACUGCACCACCAACAAAGGGCUGGAGUGGCCACAUUUUGGGAGGGCACUAGAAGAUUUAGAUAUGCGUGGCUGGAUGCAAGCCCGCAUAAUAUAGUGUAGACACUGAAGCCCCAGGUUGUGACCCAGGGGUCAACAAUCCCUAACCUACAAAUGAGUGUAGAUGCUCAAGCCCUAGGUUAACAAACCCAGAGUCUGCUAACUUGAGUUCUGCUAACCCUGGGCUUACAUUGCAGUGUAGACAUAUCCUAAGAAAUAAGCUCAAAGGGUGGGAUCCGCAAAGGGAUUUUGGCAUUAGGCAUUACAAUGCUGAGUGUCACAGUGCCUAGAAAAUCACAGGAACAAUUCUGCCAUCCACAAAUCCAAGUUCAGCACUUAAGCUCCUUGUACAAUGAAUAGGGAGAGGUAGGUGCCUAAAAAUGGGAUCCACAAAAGCCAGCAUGCUAGAAAGGGUGCCACCUAACCUACCCAAUGGGAAAUGCUGAUGAUGGCGGGGAGGGUGUUAAACCCCUCUUCUCUCUCAGAGAUAGGUGCCAAAGUCCAGGCUGCAGGGAGGUGCCUGUCUGCUCAGACCCAGCCACCUGGAGUCAGAUGGAUCGGCUCCUAAGUCACUUCUUGCAGGAAUGAGUUCAAUGUUUGCCUCACACUACACAAAUGGUUGGAGGAGGAGGUGGUGAUGAGAGCCUUCCCCCUCAUAACUUUUAGCCUAGUAGUUAAGGCACUCAUCUGGGAUAUGAGAAACAGGUUAAAAUUCCUCCUCUCUCUGCCAGAAGUAGAGGAUUUGAUUAGGGGUCUGCCACCUCUCAGGGGAAUGAUCUAACCACUGGGCUAUUCAGAUGUGGGCUUCCCUCAAUUUCUCCUGUUGAAACUGUUCCACUGUGGAUAAAUAAAGAAUGGUUGGAGCAGGGGGACUGGACCUGCAGCCUCCCAUCUCCCCAGGUGGAUGCUCACCACUGGACUACAGAGCCAUUCUAUCUCGUGCUCCCUCCCACCCAACAGUCUUUGGGUCAGAGAGAGAGCGAGAGUGCCUUUUGGGACCCACUCCAGUAGAUGUGCUCAAAGGCUGCCUAAUGGAUCGGGCCCUGGAUGUGACUUAAGCAGUAAGACAGAACCUGAUCUGCUAGGCAUGCUCAGGGGCCGCCAAGUGGAUCAGGGCCUGCAUACAACCUAGGUGGAUGAACAUGCAUCUUCCCCUGGUUUGUGAAUUACUCUGGGGCAUAGGGCUUCGGCAGGAGAUGGACAGUUAGAGGGUGGCAGCGGUGUACUUGCCUAGGGUCUACAAUUUAGCUACCUAGGGAACCUUUACAGUGGAAAGGUAGGCACCAAGUGAAUUUAGGUGCUUACAGGGUUAGGUGCCAGCCAAGCAGGAGUUUCAUGGAUCUCAGUGAUGCAUAUGGGGACUUGGGCACCUAACUCUGGAGUUUAGGUAUUUAAGUCGCUUUAUGUAUCACGCCCAAAGCUUGUUAAAUUAUCAGUAAGAAAACAACCAUUUAAGAGGGACUGGGAGUUUUGACUACUUAUUCAAACCAUUUUUUAACAGAUGAUCAGCUGGAGGGAAAUAUGGUAGAUGGGUCUUUAAUCUUUCUAGUAUGGCUGAGCAGACGUAGAAUGCAAACCACCCUGCUUAUCUAGUCUGCCUGGCCUAAUGAAAUGCUAGGGGCACUUACUACAUUAACUGUCAACAUUAUUUACUAUUUAUAGCUUUACCACACUAAGUGCCAUCAGAGACUGUUCUUGAUGAGAAGAAAUAGGAGACGGUCUGCUCCAGCUUCCCUCCACAAUAUGAGUCUUGAGCUGCAGAGAAGAUGGGGACUUUGGUUGUGGGUGCUAACAGAAAACUCUGGAUCCAUGACUUUUGGUGACUCCUAAGAAGCUUGUACAGUGCCAUCCUGUGCUGGAGGCAAGUACUCCUUAUUGGAAAUACACAGAUGUGAACAUGUUCCUUCAUAGCAUCUAGUGUGUUGUAUUUUUCUCCACCUGAGUUAACAGAUGUUUCCUUUCAGCUGCAACUGACAUUUUUAGUUCUCCUCCAGAGACAGGAUUUGUUUGCAAGUCUAUAAUAUUAAAUCACAAAAUACUACAUUGUGUGUCAAUUAAGACAGGUCUGUACACAACAUACCUAACACAAAAGCAAUAGUUAAGACAUCUUACCCUCUAUUCCACUUAGAGACAGAGAGAGACCUCACCAUUGGAACAAUCAUCAUACACCCUUAACUUUGCCUUUGUAUGGAUGCUAGUCUUCCAGCAACCACUCCUCCAAGCUUUCAUAUCCACCACAGAGACAAGACUAAGGCCUGGUCUACACCUAAAACUUUGGUCGUCCUAGCUACAUUGGUCAGAGUGUGAAAAAUUCACAUCCCUGAAAGACAUAGUUAAGCCAAACUAAGCCCCAGUGUAGAUAUCACUAGGUCAAUGAAAGAAUUCUGUCUCUGAGGAGGGUGGGUGGAUAUACUACAGCUACAAGAAACCCCCUUCCAUCACUGUAGCAAGUAUCUAUAUUACAGCACUACAGCAGUGGAGCUGCAGCUGUGCCACUGUAGUGCUUGUAAUGUAGACAAACUCUAUGGCAGUAGUUUUCAACCUGUGGUUUGCAGACCCCUGGGGAUCCGCAGGCUAUGUCUCGGGGAUCCGCAGGCUAUGUCUCAGGGAUCCGCAAAAGGGGACUAUGAAUAUAAAGUUUCAGAUGCCAUAAAAGGCAUUCUAUUUUUCUGAUCAAUCAAAAGUAUGUGACUACCUCCACCUACAGGUCAAAACCUGGAAGAAGUGUUGAAGAAGGCCACAGUUUUGCACCCUUUCUCAUGCUGCAUCAAAUGCAGGAUCUGAAUAGUGAUGGAUUUAUCAGUGAUCUUCCCUAGGGACUGUGGUUCGAAACCACCUGCCUAAUAGGUUCCUAACUAAAGACUCACCACAAGAAUCUGGAUAACCUGAUGAGCUGCUGCAAAAUGUCAGAUAAACAACUGGAGAUCAUUGACGAUGUCAGACUGCAGUUUAUCAGUGACACCACACACUGCAGUAUCUGAUUUUCUGAUAUUGGCCAAAGUUUCUGCAGGCCCACCAUGGCCUGAACUUGAAUAAAUUUCCUCACCCCCGCCCCCCAUGGAUCUCUGCACUAUCCUAAGAGCACGGAUAGUCAAGGUUCUGAAGGGUCAGAGGCAUCUGUUUGGGGUCCUUGUUGGCUCCCAGUACCAAGUCUUGAAAUCUAUUCACCUGUAAUUGAGACAAAUGUUGGCUAUGCCACCUUUAAUCCCAGAGAUAUGUUUAGUGGUAAAACAGCUGUUACAGGUUUAAACACUGCAGGAUAAAUACUCUCACCAGCCCCAACACGCUUAGUGAUUUGAAUGACUAGCUGUUAAUAACAUUCACUACCACCAGGUUUUCACUCCAGAAUCUCACUCUUUUGUUUGCAGACGGCAUGCCGUAAAUUGUCACUGCAGCUAAAAUGAGAGGAAGUUCCAUGAAAGUUAUGUCCUUAACUACUCCCCUUUGUAUCCAAUCAGUGGGCCGUCUCUGAGCAUGCCAUGUGCUUUGAUAGAAAAGUUUUAUCCAGAAGCCCCUGGAUUGAUCUUUUAGGUCUACCUUUGCUAUCGACCAAGUCUAUCCAUGCCAUCUUUAGGAUCAAUUAUAUUGAAAGCCACCAGGGCUAUAAAUACCAUCCUGGCUACUAUUAAAAAGAGGUGGUUAAAUUCCAGAAUUAUAGCUUACAAAAAACCAGACUGUAAGUUCACAGCACUCUGACUUCUAUCUUAUCCACCUCCCCUCUACUCCACCUUGAGUCCUAUCUUAUUUUACAGCUGCUUUCACAAGAACUGCUAGAGUUAGAAUCAGUACUUAUGCUUUGUAAAGUUUGGAAUUCUACCUCUCAAAUAGCUAGAAAAUCAUUAAUUUCUACUUUUAGUGGUUCCUGAGAUAUUGCUACUUAACCAUGCCAGGGUUGUAUGAUGACACAGUCUCACUGGGUGAACUUGAACAAAGGAGAGUGCAUUUCUUCAAAACUGCUGUUGAAUUAAGUGAUACAGAAUACAAUAUGCUGUUCUUAUUCAAUGGACACAUGCUGAAUGCAGCAAUACUAUUGUCCUCAAUUAUCGUGUAAUACUUCUAUUUAAAAUAUUACAUCCUUCUGGUAUGAAUUCCAUAGUAAAAAGAGUAUUUUAUUUUCUUUCAGAAUGAUUCAAAUACUUAAAAGAACAUGCAUGAUUAGAUAGGUUAAUAAGUUAGAUAUCUUGACUGACUAGUUGUUCUGCACUACUUGGAUCUGCACAGAAUGUCAAUUUAUUAUCCCUUCUAGAGUAUAUAAUCAUCUUCUUAAAACUUCUGCUUCUAAAAUGAAAAGAUGAAGUUUUUCUUGUAGCAGUCUAGUUUUGUAUGUAAUGAAAUUAGUGCUAUGGUAUAAAUAAUGCAAGCUUCUUCUCUGAAGAAUCCCAUCAUAAAGACUGCAUUUAGUAUGUGCUAAUUCAAGUUUUAAUGUAAUGUUUCCAUAAAGUUUGUUGAGUUCCUUAUGGAAAAAUUACAUUACCCUUCCUUAGUUUUAGGCAUAGAAAAAACAAAUUUUUCAACUGAUGAAAGAAAUGCUAGUGUCUGAAAGUGUGCGUGAUUUGCUUUUUUUAAACACGUGGUUCUUUUCCUCUCUUUUCUUUUCUCCAGCACAGCCCUCAUUUACAUUUGUAGGGAGCGGAGUCCUCAGUACUACAAUGGAUUUCUUCAUUGUAAUUCUUAUCAAGAGUAGCCAUUGAUAGUUGUACUGAUUUCAAACUGCAAUGCCAAUAUUCCUUCCUUCAGUCUUUAUUGUUGAUAUGUUACAAAAUACAUGACAGAGUAAUUCUUUAAAUGACAGAGUAAUUAACUUUAAGAUGGAAACAUUUUAUGCAUAAAAAUAACAUAUGAACCA